AUGUACCUAUCCCAUGAUGAUGCAUGGUGGACUGUUGACCGUUUCGAGGACAACCACAAUCACCCCCUGAUCAAAAAGCCAUCCCUAACAAAAUUCUUAUCAUCACAUCGGUACAUUCCGAAGGAGGAGCAGGACUUCUUGAGGGUUCUACAUGGAUGCAACGUUGAGACUGCGAGGCAGAUGCAGCUGAUGUCAUGGUUCUACGGGAGCGCUAAAGACGUACCCUACACGACACAAGACAUUGCUAAUCAACGAGCUAAGUUCCGCUUAGAGCACCGCCACAAGGACGCUGGGAGCACAAUUGCAUACUUCCAAGAGAUGAGGGCCGAAGAUUCAUAUUUCUACUGGAGAAUCAAACUUGAUGAUGAGGACAGGGUUGAGAACUUGUUCUGGAUAGAUGGCGCAUCACGCAGGGCAUAUGCAAAGUAUAAUGACUAUUUGUCGUUUGACACGACAUACAUGGCAAACAUGUACAAGAUGCCUCAAUCCAUCCAGUUUGGGUGUGGCUUCGUUCGAAACGAACUAAAGAAAAACUUUGUGUGGCUGUUUAACACAUUCCUCCAUGCAAUGGGUGGUGUUGCCCCAAAAAACAUCAUCACAGAGCAGGACUUUGCAAUGAGGAGUGCGAUCAACGAGGUCUUCUUGAACAUAAUACACAGAAAUUGAUGCUGGCAUAUAAUGAAGAAGGCGCAGGAGAAACUUGGAAAACUUAUGGCUGAUGAUAAACCACUAAACAAAGCGUUCAAAGACUGUGUCGACAAUAGCUUGACUGAGGAAGAGUUUGAAAACAAAUGGUGGGCAAUGAUGGAUGAAUAUGGCUAGAUCGACAACGAACAUUUUCACUGGCUGUGGGAAAAUAGGAAAUGUUGGGCCCCAGUGUACUACAUGAAGCAUUUCUUUCCAUUCUUGCAGACAACUGCAAGGAGCGAGGGAUUCAAUGCUGUGAUCAAGAAGUACGUGAAACCCAACAACUCAUUGAUUGAAUUCGCAACUCAAUACACUGCAAUCCAAGAGAAAGUAAUGGUGGUUGUGGCGAAAGACCAAGUGGACACAAUUUACAAAGAUGCAGACAUGUAUUCAUUGAACCCAAUUGAGUUACACAUGCGAGGGAUAUACACACAAAAUCUGUUCUCCAAGUUCCAGGUAGAGAUGAAGCUAAAGGCUGCUUAUGGAUGCGACACUUUGCAAGAUGAAACCUUCAGGAUGUAGUCGCUCUGAGGCAUACUACCAAAGUAUGGGGAUAGGGACUACCAUGUGCAGGCGAACAAGGAUGAAGGGGUAUACUCAUGCAAUUGCUGCAAGUUUGAUCGCCACGGGCUAUUGUGCGCACACAUACUACGAGUAAUGGAACAGAUUGGAGUCUACGAGAUACCGAGGAGGUAUAUCCUAGAUAGGUGAACAUGGGAUCGAGAAGAGGAUCUUGUUGAGCCUGAUUACCAACAGCCAACAGUUAAAAAGGGUAUGAUAGAGGAAGGAAAAAUAUCAUGA
rnacentral:rRNA from 1 species